UAUGGCAGGAAUCUGGGACAGUUUGGAAGUACUGUACUUAAAACUAUUUGGUUCAGGGGCCGGGCGCAGUGGCUCACCCCUGUAAUCCCAGCACUUUGCAAGGCUGAAGCGGUGGAUCACUUCAGGUCAGGAACUCGAGACCAGCCUGGGCAACAUACGCCAGGUUCCUGCCAAUGAAUUUUUGAUUACGUUUGGGAGAAGGUACAGUUUUCCUAUUUCAUUCAGUGGUUUAAUGGUACUCAAUGUUGACUGAAGAGACAACACGGUAAUGAUGAGAUGUCAAAACGAGUGUGAAUGUGCGUAAUUUAUGAAAGGCAUUUUUGAGGACUAGUUACAUGAAUUUUGAGAAAAUAGGAGAGCAGAGAACCUGUGUAAGAUUUUUAAGCAGACUGCACUGUCAUGAGCCAUAGGGUUGUGAGGCUGGGAGGAAAGCGCUUCCGGAAGUAUCCAAGGGGAGGGCGUGGAUCUGGCACACUGCGUGUCAGCCUGGUCGAGGAUAGCCCCUCCUCUCCAUUCCCUCGGCCAGGCCGGAAGCUACCUGGGUCCCGAAUCUCGCUACUUCCGGAUUAUCUCGCCUUGCAGCACAGAGACCAACCGCUACUCAUCUCUGCCUUUUAUUGACUGUGUUUUGCCUCAAAUCUCGCGGCUUCGUAAAAAUAUCGCGAUACUUCCGCUUUUAAUGUUUUCAGUUUGGACAAUCACUUUGAGAAAAAUUUUAAAGCCGAUUCCUAAAAAUACACGUUAGUGGUUGUUGAUGCCUACUGCUGAGAUCAAGAUAUCUUAAAGAGGGAGGAAAAGAACAAAACGAAUGUGUCAGAAGUGGGAUUCGAACCCACGCCUCCAUUGGAGACCAGAAUCCCCAGCACCGGGAAGCUCAGCUUGAGUCUGGCGCCUUAGACCACUCGGCCAUCCUGACACGCUGUAAAACAAGCGCGAUUUUUUUGAUAAUAUAGAGAUCAACGAGCACUGUGUCUGUGACGCGCACGCAGAAACGCGAUGACGUCAUGUUGCUUGGUAACGGAAGAAAAAGCCACCUGUGGAUUGAAACCGGAAGAGACUAUGGAGCUGCAGAAAAUGUUUAUGCGUAAAACUGGGUCAAGUCUCUGACGGGCCUUACGACUGUCAUCCCCAUCUCGAAAAACGCGUGCAAAUGUGUUUUAUUGCGCGCAGCCUGCCAGGUUUCGGGAAGGAAAGGCCCUCUUGUGUCUGGUCGCUGUGUCGGCUCUCCAGCGCCUGCUGUUGUCUCAAAUCCUGACGGUACUCAGCGACCCCCAGGACUUAAUUCUUGGGAAGACGGUGAGGAGCAAAACAAAACCCUGACCACAGACCCCUCGCUAUGCAGGGUCCACUUUUAUCUAGCUCCUGCAUUCUGGCCCCGUGUCACCGCCUUGCCGUUGGUCUGUGUCUUGGGCUCUGAAAAUGGCGGCCGGGAAGGUCCGUGCAGGGGCCGUCGGUGCAAGGCCGGUGUCAGGGCCGAGGAUCUGCGUCCCAGGUUCGGGAAGCUCCGGGAGCCACGCGCUCUCCCGCGGCCUUCCUGCUCGCUCUCGGAAGUUCCCGAUUCACGGGCUCCAACGUGUCCACUGCCCGGCACAUUUUAAUAGGUAAAAAAUAACAAGGUCUUUUUUUUUGUAGAGACGGGGUUUCACCAUGUUGACCAGGAUGGUCUCGAUCUGUUGACCUCGUGAUCCACCCGCCUCGGCCUCCCAAAGUGCUGGGAUUAUAGGCGUGAGCCACCGCGCCCGGCCAAGGCCUUUUUUUUUUUUUGAGACGGAGUUUCGUUCUUGUUACCAAGGCUGGAGUGCAAUGGCGCGAUCUCGGCUCACCGCAACUUCCGCCUCCUGGGUUCAGGCAAUUCUCCUGCCUCAGCCUCCUGAGUAGCUGGGAUUACAGGCACGCGCCACCAUGCCCAGCUAAUUUUUUGUAUUUUUAGUGGAGACGGGGUUUCACCAUGUUGACCAGGAUGGUCUCGAUCUCUUGACCCCGUGAUCCACCUGCCUUGGCCUCCCAAAGUGCUGGGAUUAUAGGCGUGAACCACCACACCCGGCCCAAUAAGGCCUUUUUAAAAAAUUAAAUUAAAAUUAUCCACUAUCUCACUAGUCAGAGGUAACGAUUAACAUUUUUAUAGUCUUUGAUAUGGCAUACAUUUUUUUCAAAAAAAAGGGUCAUGUGUGGUACGUAAUUUGCAAACUUGUUUUUAAAACGAAUAUAUUAUGAACAUAUAUAUUUGCUAAAUACUAUAGAUAUUUUGUAUAAAUCUUAAUAACUGCUCCCGGCACAUUUUAAUAGGUGAAAAAAAAGGACUUUUUUUUUUUUUUUUUUGAGACGGAGUUUGCUCUUGUUACCCAGGCUGGAGUGCAAUGGCGCGAUCUCGGCUCACCGCAACCUCCGCCUCCUGGGUUCAAGCAAUUCUCCUGCCUCAGCCUCCUGAGUAGCUGGGAUUAGAGGCACACGCCACCAUGCCCAGCUAAUUUUUUGUAUUUUUAGUAGAGACGGGUUUCACCAUGUUGACCAGGAUGGUCUCGAUCUCUUGACCUCGUGAUCCACCCGCCUCGGCCUCCCAAAGAAUUUUUGUAUUUUUAGCAGAGACGGGGUUUCACCUCGUUGACCAGGAUGGUCUCCAUCUCUUGACCUCGUGAUCCACCCGCCUAGUCCUCCCAAAGUGCUGGGAUUACAGGCGUGAGCCACCGCGCCUGGCCUAGGACCUUUUUUUUUUUAAUUUAAAUUACCCACUAUCGCACUAGUCAGUUCCCGAUUCAAGGGCUCCAUCAUGUCCACUGCCAGGUCGGGGACACGGCGGUAGUUUCUAAGCGCCUACCCACUUUUUCCAGCUGUUCCUUAGCCUUUGCCAAGCAAUCCAAGCUCCAAGCCAGGAAGUCCCGAGGUCGCAAACUUCAGUGGAGGCCUGAAACUAAACAGAAAUGACUCCUUCAGGUAGAACAGAGUCCGAGAGGCCCGGGACACUGCUAAAAUAACGUGUGCAGACCAACACCGCCCAGGUGGCAGUGCCUGGCAAACACGGUACAGUCUCUCUCUGUCACCAGGCUGGAAUGCAGUGGCAGGAUCUCAGCUGACUGCAACCUCCUCAUGUGUUCACGGGAUUCUCCUGCCUCAGAUGGCUGAGUAGCUGGGGUUACAAGCGCAAGACACCAUGCCCAGCUAAUUUUAUAUUUUUAGUAGGCAUGGGGUUUCACCACGUUGGCCUGGAUUGUCUCCAUCUCUUGACCUUGUGAUCCGCCCGCCUUGGCCUUCCAAAGUGCUGGGAUUUUCUACAUUUUAAUGGAAACAUCAGCAAGAGGAAUUUUAAAAGGCCUGACAAAUUAUUUAAAGAGGGAAUCGGGGUAAUAAAAAGGAAAGAAGCUGA